rnacentral:rRNA from 1 species
GAUGAACGCUAGCGGCAGGCUUAAUACAUGCAAGUCGAGGGGCAGCAUAGGUGUAGCAAUACAUUUGAUGGCGACCGGCAAACGGGUGCGGAACACGUACACAACCUUCCGAUAAGUGGGGAAUAGCCCAGAGAAAUUUGGAUUAAUACCCCGUAACAUAUAGAGGUGGCAUCAUCUUUAUAUUAUAGCUACGGCGCUUAUUGAUGGGUGUGCGGCUGAUUAGAUAGUUGGCGGGGUAACGGCCCACCAAGUCUACGAUCAGUAGCUGAUGUGAGAGCAUGAUCAGCCACACGGGCACUGAGACACGGGCCCGACUCCUACGGGAGGCAGCAGUAAGGAAUAUUGGUCAAUGGACGCAAGUCUGAACCAGCCAUGCCGCGUGAAGGAUUAAGGUCCUCUGGAUUGUAAACUUCUUUUAUCUGGGACGAAAAAAGGCGAUUCUUCGUCACUUGACGGUACCAGAUGAAUAAGCACCGGCUAACUCCGUGCCAGCCGCCGCCGUAACAC